GAUGAACGCUGGCGGCGUGCCUAAUACAUGCAAGUCGAGCGAACGGACGAGAAGCUUGCUUCUCUGAUGUUAGCGGCGGACGGGUGAGUAACACGUGGAUAACCUACCUAUAAGACUGGGAUAACUUCGGGAAACCGGAGCUAAUACCGGAUAAUAUUUUGAACCGCAUGGUUCAAAAGUGAAAGACGGUCUUGCUGUCACUUAUAGAUGGAUCCGCGCUGCAUUAGCUAGUUGGUAAGGUAACGGCUUACCAAGGCAACGAUGCAUAGCCGACCUGAGAGGGGGUAGGCCGACAGGGAGAGUGGAACGCGACCCAGGGUCCGAGGGGAGGCACAAGCGGGGACGGGAGGGAGAAGGGGGGAAGCUUGACGAAGGAGCGCCGGGGGGGUGAAGAGGGGCUGCGGGGGGGAAAACUGUGUUAGGGGGGAAAAACAUUUUUGUAAGGAACGAAGCUUUUUGUGACGGUACCUAGACAAAAAGCACCGGCUAACUACGUG
rnacentral:rRNA from 1 species